CCUUCCAAACCCUCUCUAAGAGUUCUCAUAUAAUCCAAGGCCAAAAUCAAAGCCUAACAAGUGAAUCCAACCCCAAGAAAUCAUGGUGCUAGCUAAGAGUAGCUCUAGUGCGCCGUGGUGACGUGGAAGGUUGUUCUAAGUGAGAGUAAGCUCAUGUUUUGAUCUUACCUUCUUGAUUGAGAUUGUCAUUCAUUAAAUGUUCGAGGACUUAUGAGCUAUCGACACAAGAUACAUAUAGUGAUUCAAACGAUACUUCACAAUAGGUGGCUCAACUCAGCUGAAGGUUUUCAUGCUCCUUUCUUUCGGAGCUGUCUAGUGAGCUGGUAGGUGUGAUGGUUGCAUAUAUGUACAUAGUUGGGUAUGGUGGAGCCCUUUCCUGACUUUAUGAUGUUUAUGUACUCCUUAGAGGCUUGUAGAUAGAUAUUAUGUGUAUUAAUGGUUAUGGCGGUCUUGUAGGCCCGUAUGUCUCAUGUAUAUAAGCUUGUAUAUCAUUUUGGGACGUCCUUUGUCGAGUUUCCUUUCAUGUUUUAAUCAAAUUAUCUUAUGGCGGCCUUUUUGGCCCAUUUAUG